rnacentral:rRNA from 1 species
AGUGAACGCUGGCGGUAGGCCUAACACAUGCAAGUCGAACGGCAGCACAGGAGAGCUUGCUCUCUGGGUGGCGAGUGGCGGACGGGUGAGGAAUACAUCGGAAUCUACCUUUCGUGGGGGAUAACGUAGGGAAACUUACGCUAAUACCGCAUAAGACCUUCGGGUGAAAGCAGGGGACCUUCGGGCCUUGCGCGGAUAGAUGAGCCGAUGUCGGAUUAGCUUGUUGGCGGGUAAAAGCCCACCAAGGCGACGAUCCGUAGCUGGUCUGAGAGGAUGAUCAGCCACACUGGAACUGAGACACGGUCCAGACUCCUACGGGAGGCAGCAGUGGGGAAUAUUGGACAAUGGGCGCAAGCCUGAUCCAGCCAUACCGCGUGGGUGAAGAAGGCCUUCGGGUUGUAAAGCCCUUUUGUUGGGAAAGAAAACUUGCGGGCUAAUACCCAGCAAGUCUGACGGUACCCAAAGAAUAAGCACCGGCUAACUUCGUG